rnacentral:lncRNA from 1 species
AGUAUUGAUGCUGUCUUUGACACGGUACUUCCUCUCACAUUAAAAAUGUCUUUUAAAGGAUACUAUUAGGGGUGCCAGGGUGGCUCAGGCAGUUAAGCAUCUGACUUCAGCUCAGGUCAUAAUCUGAUGGUUCCUGGGAUCGAGUCCUGCACGGGCUGUGUGCUGAUAGCUCAGAGCCUGGAGCCUGCUUCAGAUUCUGUAUCUCCCUCUCUCUCUGUCCUUCUUCUGCUUGCACUCGGUCUCUCUCUCAAAAAUAAAAUAAACAGUAAAAAAAAAAUUUAAAGGACACUAUUAAAUGAAACUAAGUUUAUGGUCAUUUGGCAUUUCCAGAAAGGUUAUGAUAACUUGUGAGGUUCCCUUGGCAUUCCUAAUCAAUUACUCUUAAUUACCUUUAUCAGUUAAGAAGAUCAUUUAUAAGAAUAUCUGGUGUAGAUGAGCCAUAGCUCAUCCAAUGUUCAUUUUUAGUAGUCAAAUAAACAUCUAUAUAGACAUUGCCCCUUGAUCAGAUAUGUUGUUUCUGUGACUUUCAGCCAUCAAACUAAUGACUUUUCUUUUGUAGCUUUACAGAAGGAAAAAUGGAGGCAGGGUCAUCUCUUGGUAAUUGACAGAACUUCGGUGUUUGUAGCACCAGCCAUAAGUUGUUUUGGAGUGCCCUCACUGAAGUCAGGUCUUGUAAUUUUUUGAAACUUUAUCAACAGGGGCUGGAGGGAUGAAAGUUGGAAGAGGGGUUAAAAUUUGCUUUCCCUAAAAAAGUCUGUUCAUUUGUUUUGAGAAAGUUAUUCAACACAGCAGGUUAAAUAUUCAAAUAAAGAUUUUUUAAAGCAUCUUUUUUAAAAAAAAUUAAUGUUUUUUUGAGAGAGAGAGCAAGUGUGAGCAAGUGGGGUAAUGGGGGAAGAGGAGAGGAGAGAGAGAAUUCCAAGCAGGUGCUGUGCCAUCAGCCUAGAGCCUGAUGGGAGGUUUGAUCUCCUGAACCUCGAGAUCAUGACCUGAGCCGAAACCAAGAGUUGGACACUUAAGUGAUUGAGCCACUCUAAUGCCCCUUAAAGCACUUUUAUUAUGGAGGACAGAGGAUCACCAUUGACCUGAAUGCAGAUGUUUUAGAAUGAGAUGUUUACUGUUCUCUUUGGUAAUGAAAAUUAUUCAAACCACACUCAGAUAUCACCUCACGCCAGUCAGAGUGGCCAAAAUGAACAAAUCAGGAGACUAUAGAUGCUGGCGAGGAUGUGGAGAAACGGGAACCCUCUUGCACUGUUGGUGGGAAUGCAAAUUGGUGCAGCCACUCUGGAAAACAGUGUGGAGGUUCCUCAGAAAAUUAAAAAUAGACCUACCCUAUGACCCAGCAAUAGCACUGCUAGGAAUUUACCCAAGGGAUACAGGAGUGCUGAUGCAUAGGGGCACUUGUACCCCAAUGUUUAUAGCAGCACUCUCAACAAUAGCCAAAUUAUGGAAAGAGCUGAAAUGUCCAUCAACUGAUGAAUGGAUAAAGAAAUUGUGGUUUACAUACACAAUGGAGUACUACGUGGCAAUGAGAAAGAAUGAAAUAUGGCCCUUUGUAGCAACAUGGAUGGAACUGGAGGAGUGUUAUGCUAAGUGAAAUAAGCCAUACAGAGAAAGACAGAUACCAUAUGGUUUCACUCUUAUGUGGAUCCUGAGAAAUUUAACAGAAACCCAUGGAGGAGGGGAAGGAAAAAAAAAGAGGUUAGAGUGGGAGAGAGCCAAAGCAUAAGAGACUCUUAAAAACUGAGAACAAACUGAGGGUUGAUGGGGGGUGAUGAGUAUUGAGGAGGGCACCUUUUGGGAUGAGCACUGGGUGUUGUAUGGAAACCAAUUUGACAAUAAAUUUCAUAUAUUGAAAAAAAAAAAGAAAAUCAUUGUAUGUAGCUGGAGAGGGAAACAUUUCCCUGAGGUAAGAUUUUGCAUUGUAGCAUGCAGGGGUAGAGAGGAGAGGGUGGAAAUAAGAAAAGUCUCCUGAGUAUAAAUUCAUGGAUCACAAGUAUGAUGGCAAUCUAUGGAUUUAUACCACCUGGGAGCUUAUAAAACACCUCCACACCUGGGUCCUACCUAUGGAGGUUGUGAAUUUUUGGGUCUGAGUGAGCAUGUGCAUCUAGAAGUCUAGAUGCUAAAGGACCAGGGAAAUGAGAGCCUAAAAAAGCACAGUUGGAACAAAAGAACUGUAGUCAAGAGCUUCCUACAUGAAUUGCCAAUGCAUCUAUGAGAAUGGCCCAUCGAGUGAGAGCCAGAACCCUAAAUUUAAACUAACCCCUCCUUCACACGUCCCCACCAACCCCAAAACAACAGCAGCCACAUGGAAUAGAGAGCAUGGAGCCAGGAAGAAUGAGGAUGCCAACCACUGACCGACCACUCCCCUCACUCAUUGCAACUUUUCAAGCGUACAGUGACCAUGAACUGGGGAAGGAAGCUAACUCACCAUCAGAUAAAACCUGAAAUGCAAUCUUAGGAGGAGACUUUAAUCACUGACAUGAGACUGUUCUUGUGACUGAAAAGAACCAGAAAAGCCAAGGAACUGCCUGAAAUUUUAUCUAUGGAAAAGUGUGAUCACUAGGAAGUAGACAUUAUACCAGAAUUACUUACUCAUUCCUUUUUCCUUUGAAUACAGAGGGAGGAUGUUUGUCCUCAGUUUGGUAUGCAACAAGACUUCCUUAAGAACUAACUAGACAUCUGUGGAAUGAUGUUAUUGUCUCACCAAAGCAAGUAAAACAUAACCAUAUCAAGGCCUGAUGUAUGGCUGCAUCAAAAUCAGCGUAUUAUUGGAUAAAACGUUAAGGAAAUUCCCUUGUGAGAAAAUAGAGACAACAGAAGUACUGGGAAAGUAUUGAUGGAAGCCAUGAUAAAAAACAGAUACCAAAGGUCAAGGGAAAAAAUAGGUAACCAGCUAAAUAAACCAAUGUGAUGGUUUUGUCAAAAACAAAAUUCUAGGGCACUUGACUGCCUCAGUCGAAAAACUAUGUGACUCUUGAUCUUGGGUUGUGAGCUCGAGCCCCAUAUUGGGUGUACAGAUUACUAAAAAUGAAUGAAUGAAUGAAUGAAUGAAUGAAUGAAUGAAUGAAUGAAUAAACAAACAAACAAACAAAUGGGGCACCCGGAUGGCUAAGUCAGUUAAGCGUCUGACUCUUGAUUUCGGCUCAGGUCAUGAUCUCACAGUUUGUGGAACUGAGCCCUACAUUGGGCUCUGUGCUGACACCAUGGAGUCUCCUUGGGAUUCUCUCUCUCCCUCUCUCUCUCUUUCUCUCUCUGCCCCUUCGCCAACUCAUGCUUAUGAUUGCUCUCUAAAUAAACAUUUUAAAAAACUAAAAGUAAAUAAAUAAAUAUAUAAACUUUAAAAAAAGACAAAAUGCUCUUUUCUUUCUUUCUUGUUCAGGGGAUUCUGGCUGGGUAUGUGUGUGUUGGGGACAGGGGUGGGAGGGAGGUCAGGAUUAUUUUCCCAUACACGUAUGUAUUUAGUUUAGAGCUAUCAUUUUAUUUUAAAAAAUAUUUGACUACUAUAUUUUAUAAUUUUCAAAUACAGAGAAGUUCAUUUCCAGUUUUUGUUUUUAAGACAAAUUUAUUGCUUUUUAUUUGAAGCAUGGAAAAUCUAAUAUAAUUUUUCCCUUCUAGCAUUUUCAAUUUAGGGUAGUUUAUUUUUAUUUUCAUUUCAGUCCCUGAUGUGGCUACUCAAAAGGUCUUUGGAAUGUCUACAAUGAGGGAAAAAAGAACCUUUGUAAAGUGAGGGGGAAUCAAUAGUAAUGACAUAGACAAUUUCAAAUGCUGGGUUAAUUUUUUUAAGGUUGAUUUACAAUCAAAGGCUGAAAUCUGGAAAAGCCCAGGAAAUUAUAGUCAUCACAUCACUCAAACAUUUUCCAUGCCAUGAGGCCCAGAUGACACGGGCCCAGAAAUGGCAGAUAUAAUAGUUCCAGAAAAUAGAACAGAGUGUUUUUCUUGUCCAAGACUGUACACCUCUCCCAGUCCUUUGUAAUGACACAGUGAAUCUUAAUUUCAGGGGUUCAAGGAGUGCAGGGAAGCACCUGAAGGAUGCAGUGAUAGCCUUGGAACAAGGAAAUUAAAUGGCAGAAGACAGUUUGGUUAAACACCACCCCCUCCCACCCCUCACCCUAAAGACAAAUAUAUGUUUCAAAAACCUUUUUGUGUUGUGGAAUUUCAAGUAUUUCCUCCUAAUCCCCAAGGCAUCCACAUUAUUAUUACUGUAUUAACAUUAUUUACAUUCACAAUUAUUUGGGGGGGGGGGCCUCCUUGAAGCUCCAGGUGAUUUUGUAACUUUAAAUUGGCCAAAGCUAAUAAUCCCAAAUGCCAACAUAAAGACAUGAUAGCUUGCUGUUCCCAGUUCCUGAGGGAAUAUGUAUGCAUAGACAAUUUAAAUUUUCGUUACUCUUGAAGUUUGGAAGGACUAUGGAAAAUUGCAAGGAUCUUUCCACCCUUUAUCAUUCUGGUUCUAGCAAUAUUUAUAGGCCACGUGUUGCAGUUCUGAUCAACAUUGAGAUUAUGUAUAGAAACCUACUUUCACUUUCAUAGUCUCAGGGAACUGCCAGAGUCCCGGAGCCAAUAAUUCUCUACUUUGUGGUGAGACAAGGUAGUGUUCUUACCUCUUCCCACCAGCUGGCUGACAGAGAUGCUUGAGGGGGUGGGAAGGGCAGCAGGCAGCAGUCAGGGAAUCUGGGGGUCAGGUCCUUUCCAAGUGGGGACUGUCAGACCCCCUCACAUGGCUCCAACUCUCCCACUGUUAUUUUUAUGAGGAGUAAAAAUGACCAGAUUGGUAAAUAUCCAUUCUAUUUUGCAGUGAUUCUGAUGGCAGUCAGGACAACCCAGAUAUUCCUAGGAUGUGCGAUCUCCUCCACUCCCCCAGCCUCAUGUUCAACCUCAUCUCAUAAAAUUUCUUGUGAUUAGGCAACUCUAAUUUUCCUUACCUGCUGUGCCUACUCAGGGCUGUCAAGGAUAACAUUUUACCGACAUUUUAAUCUACUCAGGGAAGUGCUCUCAAAGGAAGUAAUGACAAGCGUGAUUGAGACUUGGGAACAAAUAUGUUCUCUACAUCGGCCUGGUCAAAUUUCUAAUCACAGGAUUAAAUAAAUAGUCCUGUGACUAUUUCUAGAACCAUUCAGAGGUGUUUGGGAAUAAGAAGUACGAUGAAUCAACAAUCCCCAAAACCAAAAAUGACAACAGAAUGUUUUUGCUGGCCUUCUUUCCUGUAGGUCUGCUCCUUUCCCUUGUCAAGGCUGGACCCAUAUCCCUGGGUAGUCAUUUUACAAAUACGUGACAUGAAUCCAAAGGGGAGCUGGGUUGAAAUGCCAAUGACGCAACACAGCAAAUUUACUGUCCUCACUCCUAGCACAGCACCAACGGAUGGAUAUCUCCUUUCUGAUAAUUCAGCUCUAAUGUCUCCAUAUAUAUAUAUAUAUAUAUAUAUAUAGGAUAAGCUUAUUACAGAUACACAGAACUCUAAGACAUACUCAGAGAAUUAGAAGCUAUAUUGGAAUCUAUUAUUAUUAUCUACUAAGUUCUCAAAUCUCGAUUUUUAAAAAAUUAAAUGAAGAAACUCAUUUGACUAAGACACUAGGCUAAUACAACAUUUAUUGCUUGCAUGCCCUAAGAUUUCUCUGGGAACAUAGAGUCAAAACUUAUUUUGAAAAGCUAGUUUGCAUUGCUAACUGGCAGGGUUUUUUUCUUUGUUAUACGUUUUUUUCAAAUGCUACCAGCAAUGAAAAUGCAUCAUGAAUGAUCUAAAAGAACACUCAAGAAAAUUUCAGAUUUCUAGAAAGAAACAGGUUUCCAAAAGCAAAUCAAAUGUAUGCCUAAGAUCUUUUUUGUAUUAGGGUUCUAAAAUUUGCUGUACAUAUUGUUCCCAAAUAUCUUUGAUGAUUUCCAAUCGGCAGUUACAUUUUUGUUUCUUCUGUUUUCUAUUUGUGAAAAAUGUGGCAAGAAGAGAUAAAACCAAGAGGAAGAAAUUUCAAAUGCAGCAGACAAUCUGUAUGGGAGAUCUUUGGGAUAGAACUUAGCUUUAAACUGUUAAUAAGUGCUGUGCCACCCAGAUCAAACGAUGUUUAACAGUAUAGGCAUCUCUGUUAUUCGGAAAUUUUUGCUCUUGGAAACCUAAGAAAAAAAGCUUUUUAUUCGUGGCACUGAGCAUUUCAACAGGAAACGGGAGUUCAGCCACUAGAAAAGCGCUUUUUUUUUCCCCUGACACAAGUUUUGCCAUUGUGCCUUGAUUGACAGCCAUCCCACUGUCUAUAAACAAUCUACCGGUUGCCCCAAAUCACCAUUCGGCUCCCCGUCCAACAUUUAAACAUUGAGUGGUUUUGCGCUCAAUAAAAUUCCUUUUCAUUUCGCCCUAGGUUGCCAUGUCUCUUCAAACAGAGACGGAAAACCAUGGUCUGUGUCAGACAGAUUUUAAUUUUCAAUCCUCAUCCAUUCGGGGAAACUAGACACGGCAAACAGACUCUACCCCAAAACCUAGCAACCUGGAGUUUAACCAGCCAAUGCAUCUGAGUCCCGGGGAUGGGGGCCUGGACCUGUUCACACAUGAAUAAAGAAGAUUAAGAUUUCCUUUCAAAGACAUGAGGCCUUUUUGACAGCCAGUGUCAACAGCGCUGUCUGCCUUCAAUGUGAACCAGUCUUCCAGCACAGAUUCCCACAGGGAGGUCCUGGUGAUUAGCAUGCACCACGCCGCUGCUCCAUGUCAGUAUUUAAUUGAAGAAUAAGGGUGCAAAGUUUUGCAAACUCUUACUUAUCCGCAAAGAAAGGGUAACUUACAGGAAUUGUUGAAAGAAAAUACCAGUGAACAUGAACACCCACGGGGAGCAUUUAGAAAGUGAAGAACAGAGCAGGGAAAUGAAGAACAGCAGUGAUUUCUAUUAUCUAAUGGCAGAGACGUUAACAAAAGCUCUGUAGUCAAAAUCCAUGUUUUGAAGUCACAAAAAUCAGCUCUACUACAGAAAAAGAAGGCACAACUCCUCUUUCAGAUAGGGUUAUAAAUCCGUACUAAAUAACAGACAGUUCUGAAAACAUUUGACAGAUACUCUGCCCCUUAAUAAACAGCUCAGGGGGAAAAUCCUUAUCAAAUGAUAUUACUGCAAUUUUAUUUAUGUAUUAUUAAUAUGAAAUUUAUUGUCAGAUUGGUUUCCAUACAACACCCAGUGCUCAUCCCAACAGGUGCACUGCCAUUUUAAAUAGGACUUCUUUGCACAUCGCACUUGGUAAUGUUAAAGGAAGUACACUAUGGCUUUAUUAAACAGUGAAUUUCAUAUCACGUCACAUAUCCUUCAUCAGAGCUAAAAAGGUAAAGAAAGUCAUGUCUACAAGUGUCAAUGUCACCAAUUUAAUUAUCCUACUUCAAUGACAAGUUCAAACACUUGAACAUGUUAAAAUAUAGCCCACUCCUGCUUUGAAAUUAUAUACUCCUAUCAAUUUACCUGUCUGAAUUAUCUGGGGAUGAGUUAGAAUAGCUGAGUUAUACCUGUUUACAAGAACAUCACUGUUUUUGAAUAUGUGACAAAUGUUUAUGCAGUUUGACAUCAACUGUUUAUUCUCCAAGGCUGGAUAAGAACAUAAAGCCAAAAAUGUACCACCCACAUAUACAGAUGUUGUGUUUCCUCACCACUGGUACGUGCAGGUUGACUUGCUUUUCCAGUGGUGGUGAAGAAAGGUCCACACUGACCUAUCACUUUCUUUCAUUUAUUAAAUAUUUAUUUAUUAAGCACCUGCUGUUUACUAGGCAUCCAGGUAGGAACUGAGAAGAGAGGCUGUGGUGUCCUCGAGCCAGCUCCUAUAGAUGUGUGAGAUCCAGUUGUGCACGUCUCUUCCCAAUUCGUCACGCUGGUCACUUGAAAUUAGCCUGAGUGAGUGUAUUGACACCACCACAAUCAGCAACACCAUAAAUCAGGGCUUGUUUGUUUAGAGUCAGUUGUUAAACAUUUGCUAGCAUAUCACUGGCUGGAGGGGUAAGUAAAAUUGACAGGAUUUCUGCCUUCCUAGAUCCUCCAGCCAAGGGUCUGCUAGUUACCCUUGCAAACCGUGUGCCCAGCAAUAUUGGUGCACUUGUGGUAAUAUAGCAGGGGGACACUACAAAGGGAUUGAGACUGAAGUUUUAUUUACCGGGAUUUCAGCAGAGCUGGUACAAAAUAAGAAUGUCUGCAAGCUAGGAUCAGGAUUAGACAAGAUGGCAGGAACUGGGGGCGCAAAUCAAGGCUUGGCCUCUUCGGGGCCAUGGGGAGGCCUAAGCUAUAAUAAAUUCUCAAUUUAUGAGACAACCAUGGAGAGAAUAAAAAUACACCAGGUCUGAACCAUCAAAGAUAUGGCGGCUUUCAAACUAUAUAUAGUCUAUACCUGCAUUAGGUCAAUGCUGUCUCAUCGUCUCCAGCGCAUACUCGGCUGCCAAUGAACUGUCUCCUAGCCAUUUCCCGAUGGCAAGGGGUGCUCUAGGGCAGUAUCAAACUCUGAUGUCUACUAGAAUCACUUGGAGACCUUGUUAAACUGCAGACGGCAGGCUCUCAGCCCCAGAGGCCCCUGUUUCAGUAGGUCUGGGAUGGGACCAGGAAAUAAUUUGUGUGUCGCCCCAUGCUGUUAGGCGAUGAUAAUGCCACUGGUGAGGGGAUGGCAUUCUGAGGACUACUGCCUCACUGCUUUAGAAUUGAAUCAACAUUUCAUUGCCACCUGUUUCAGAAGAGCAGUGACCCAUGCUCUACUUUGUGGGCAUGAACUGCCUCUCAGUAUUGCAAGGGGCUCAUUAAUGGAUGUAAAAAUCUUCCUCAGUGACACAGCAGCAAAAGAAAUAGUUAAUUGUCACACAUUACUAUCUUCUAUCUUCCACACCAUUUGGUCUUCAUGGGGAGAUGCUAUUUGAAGGAUAUCUGCAGAAUUCUUUGAACUUGACAUCUCAGAAAUUUCCUAGAACAAAUAAACAUGUGCUAUAUAAAAUAUAUAAAUUCAUACAAAAAAAAAACUUUAUUACAGAAGUAGUGACCACAAAAGCAAUCUUGUGCAAGUACAUCAGUGAUUAUUGUCUGGAGGAAGGAGACCACAUAUGAAUUCAACCAAUCAGACCUCACCAAUGCUCCUUGUCCAGUCAGCCUUCCAGACCUUUAUUUUAACAUCAAUCAUGAGAACACAGUCAUUGCAACAUAGGUCAUUUUAAAAGUAUGUUGAUGACUAAUGAAAAAUAUUCUAAAUAUUUAUUUCACGUCCAGGAAAGAGCAAUUUCAAAAGAUUAUGUGAAAGGACACACAGGCCAACCUCUGUUAAUGUGCUUUUAUAGCCUUCCCCUAUGUCACUCCUCACUGUAUUGUAGCCAAUUCAGCUCAAUGGUCCCAGAACUGGAUUUGAGUCAAGUAUGACCCCAUUUAUAGGAAGAGCAGGUGACUGUCAUGUUGUUUCAUUCGAGUGGUCAUCACUAUGGCUCCGUUAGCAAAUUAGAAGCCUAAUCAAUACACCGAUACUGCCUAUCAGUCCACCAUUAUAGCUGAUUCUCUUGGACCUUUAGGAUCUGUUCACCGUCAGAAGUAGUCUCCACCUUCAGAUGUGAAUGCCCUUGAAGAGGCCCUUGGAACACUAACAUAAUCUGCCUCACAAAACUAGCACUAUCGAUUUGUGCCAAAGAGGCAGCCAUCAUUAACCCAAUUUUCUUCCAGAAGUAAGUAUACUUUUACUAAAAUCACUAAAAAUCACAUAUGAUAUUUGAAUGAACUGACUUUUAUUUGGUGAUAUUAAGAAAAUCUCUGACUAUAGCAUGGAUGUUAUGGAAAAUUCAGCAAAUAGGCUGAAGGCAAAAGAGGAAAGAGAACACUGUGAACUAGAAAUAAACAAAGGCAGAGAAAGAUAAAUGGGAUUACAUGAAUCAACAGUGACAGCAUCAAAGAACUUCCUCUUAAAUUAUACUGUGCACAGUAUUGAUGCAGAAUCUUUAUAAAUAUCUGGGUAACAGAUGCUGCCUGAAAAAUAUUUAGAGUUCUGUUCAUUUUAGUGCAUCUAGUAUCGGCAUAAAAUACAUGAUAAAAUAUUUUAUAGCUUCAGUUUUACUGUGAUUCAUUUUAAUUUAGGUUAGCUUGAGAAAAUUAAAACAAGCAGUUAUUUAUGUCAUGAACGUGUAUAGGAUUUCAUGAAUGAAAUUUUAAUUGAUAACAUGUUUUUCGUCUAAUUCAUAUCAUUUCAUAUGUUUCACAAAUAAAAGUCAACUUAUAUUCUAAUUUACUGAAAUAAAUGUGUCUAGACACUGAAAGAUUAUAGGGAAACACACAGAGAUAAGUAUAACACAUACACAAACACUCAAAUUGAUUCUGUUCUCAGAUUGCAGCUAUUUAUAGGAAUUCAUUUUCAGACUGAAGAGCAGGAGCCAGCAGCAGUCAGGGAUUUGUCAUUUUAAAACAUAAUUUCUACCACAAAUAAAAGUACUUUUCACUCAUUUCCAUAAUUUGUUCAAGUGAAUUCAAACCAACUUAGAGCCCUAUAUGUAUUACUUCUACAAUUCACAUAAUUUUGUAAAGCGUUUUUCCUUGAAUGUGGUUCAUAUGAUCGGCGUCUUGCUUAUGGUUGGUGGAGAAGCCAUGGCCAUCAGAAGCAAUGAAGGUAUUUUGGUCUCCCUUGAAAGUGAGGCUUAUGUGACUGAACAAACAAGUUCCCACUUUGGCGAUUUUCCUUUCUCCAGACGGAUCUUGGUUCUUUCCAUGCAGUCUCAGAGUUUGAACCUGUCUCAUCUACACCAGGGGGAGGUAAAAGUAGGGACGUACUGAAGCGGGCGCUUACUGGCUUCAGAGAGCUGGUGCCUCAGCCCUCAGGAAUUUUGCAAGCUAGUUCUUAAGCACAGCCAUGACAAAGAUGAAAUAUAAAAGCUUAUAACUUUUGAAAAUUUGCUGAGGAUAUUUCAGUGUUCUUACCACAGAAUAAAAUAACAAUAAGAAACAGUAAAAAAGUAAGAAGGAGGGAGGAAAUUUGGGGAGGAGAUGGAUGGGUUUAUGGUAUAGAUUUUGGUGAUAGUUUCGUGGAUGUAUAUUUAUCUCCAAAUGCAUCAACUUGUUGUCCACUAAUUAUGUACAUCUUUUUGCAUAUCAAAAAAUCCUUAUAAGUAAGUAUAUUCUAUACCAAAAACAAAGGUAUUAGACAUACAAAAUUCAUCACUUUCUAAUUAUUUUCAAACAUCUUCUGGGUGCCUGGGUGACUCAGUCAGUUAAGCAUCAGCUCAGGUCACGAUCUCACGGUUGUGGAGUCCAGCCCCACAUCAGGCUCUGCACUGAAUGUGGAGCCUGCUUGAGAUUCUCUCUCUCUCUCUCUCUCUCUCUCUCUCUCUCUCUCUGCCCCUCUCCUGCUCAUUUCCUCUCUCUCUUUCUCUCUCUCUCAAAAUAAAUAAACUUUAAAAAUUGUAUCCCUUCUUUAAAAAAAAAAACUCCUAUUUCCUAUUUGUUAGGUUCUAGAGUAUCAUGUCAGCUCUUGAAGCUGCAAUAAGACUAUUUUUAUCCAAGUUCAAUGAUCACAGUGAUUUCUUUUCCAUUCAGCAUUUAUUCCUUUUCCAUCUGAGUUUGUAAGGGGUACCAUCCCUUAUCCUUCAUCACAUAAUACAUAUUUAAGAAUAUUUUUCUUAGCUUUAAAUGAGUUAGUUGGAGGAACAAGAAGAAAGCCAUGGAUUCCAUUUGCAAGAAUGGAAGCGGACCCUUUCCUUCUAUUCCAAGUCCCAACAGGAGAGUCUGCAUUUGGGUUUUUGAGAACUUGAAAUGGGUCAUGUGUAGGCAGUCAGGACACUCGGUCCACCUUGUCUCAUAGCCCUAAAGGGUUAAUUUCAUCACUAUAGGGAGGUGGAAAACUCAGAGCUAUAACUUUCAGGAAUUCUCAAAACCUGAGCAUUGCAGACCAAGUGCCCCUUUGUUUCAUCAUCCAUCUGUUGAAGUAUAUUUUCAUUCCAUCUGCACA